rnacentral:rRNA from 1 species
UUUAAUGAGAGUUUGAUCCUGGCUCAGGACGAACGCUGGCGGCGUGCCUAAUACAUGCAAGUAGAACGCUGAAGGAGGAGCUUGCUUCUCUGGAUGAGUUGCGAACGGGUGAGUAACGCGUAGGUAACCUGCCUGGUAGCGGGGGAUAACUAUUGGAAACGAUAGCUAAUACCGCAUAAGAGUGGAUGUUGCAUGACAUUUGCUUAAAAGGUGCACUUGCAUCACUACCAGAUGGACCUGCGUUGUAUUAGCUAGUUGGUGGGGUAACGGCUCACCAAGGCGACGAUACAUAGCCGACCUGAGAGGGUGAUCGGCCACACUGGGACUGAGACACGGCCCAGACUCCUACGGGAG